rnacentral:rRNA from 1 species
AUUGAACGCUGGCGGCAUGCCUUACACAUGCAAGUCGAACGGUAACAGGUCUUCGGAUGCUGACGAGUGGCGAACGGGUGAGUAAUACAUCGGAACGUGCCCAAUCGUGGGGGAUAACGUAGCGAAAGUUACGCUAAUACCGCAUACGAUCUACGGAUGAAAGCGGGGGAUCGCAAGACCUCGCGCGAAUGGAGCGGCCGAUAUCAGAUUAGGUAGUUGGUGGGGUAAAGGCUCACCAAGCCAACGAUCUGUAGCUGGUCUGAGAGGACGACCAGCCACACUGGAACUGAGACACGGUCCAGACUCCUACGGGAGGCAGCAGUGGGGAAUUUUGGACAAUGGGCGCAAGCCUGAUCCAGCCAUUCCGCGUGCAGGAUGAAGGCCUUCGGGUUGUAAACUGCUUUUGUACGGAACGAAACGGUCUGCCCUAAUACGGCAGGCUAAUGACGGUACCGUAAGAAUAAGCACCGGCUAACUACGUG